UGAAGUAUCAAGUGACAUGCUUACUGUAAACAACAUUAGACUGAACUGAGCCUCUGUCUUACCUGUCUCACUAAUUCACUUCACCUGUUAACAUGCAACUCAUAACACAGGAGACGACAUUCAAACUGCCAGAUGAAAAUAAAACACUGGCGAUUGACUGGGUGUUAUCUACCGAAAUGUCUUUUGUUUGACAAACCUGUUGCCUUUUCACACCAACAAAAACAUAUAAAUACAGGAUAUUUUAUUGGAGUGUCAGAGGGAGAAAGAUCUGAAGUUUAAAGAGAAGUUUUAUGAAUGCCGAUAAGCGUUUAUCGUGACCUUCGGUUUCAGUUCGGGACUAAACACCAGCCACUGUUGUGUAACUUCGGUACACAUGUUUUUGGCUCAGAUAAACAGUUUGUACAAACAUUCAAGUCCGACCAGAGAUCAGAGAUCAGUAACUGUUAGCAAAAUAAUGAAAUGAACAUAUAUUGUUUAGAAUAUGAGAGUAGGUUGAUUCCCCUUGAUUCAGGUUAGGAGCAUUAGCAUAGCAGGUUAGGAACAUUAGCAUAGCAGGUUAGGAACAUUAACAUAGCAGGUUGGGAACAUGAACAUAGCAGGUUAGGAACAUUAACAUAGCAGGUUAGGAACAUUAACAUAGCAGGUUAGGAACAUUAGCAUAGCAGGUUAGGAACAUUAACAUAGCAGGUUAGGAACAUUAGCAUAGCAGGUUAGGAACAUUAACAUAGCAGGUUAGGAACAUUAGCAUAGCAGGUUAGGAACAUUAGCAUAGCAGGUUAGGAACAUUAACAUAGCAGGUUAGGAACAUUAACAUAGCAGGUUAGGAACAUUAACAUAGCAGGUUAGGAACAUUAACAUAGCAGGUUAGGAACAUUAGCAUAGCAGGUUAGGAGAAUUGACAUAACAGGUUAGGAGCAUUGACAUAGCAGGUUAAAAGGAACAUUCUCUAAAGUGGUAGGAAUGUUUGUUGUUAGCUGGGGGACAUGGACAAGCGUUAUCAUUCUACCUCAGUCCCAGUCCCACCUGGUAAGGGAAGCCUGCAAGGCGCCAGGCUCAAUCAGGCUACUGUAUGUACAUGAGAUUCAUCAUUACAGAGACUGUGUCUGUUUUGAGCCAUGCCAGCCAGUCCGAGCCGUGGUUGCUGAGUGACUGUGAAUCAGGCCGUUGGUUCAUGUGUAUGACUACAUUGUCCAGCUAGUUGUCUAGGCUGAACAGGAGCAUGCACUGUUGGGAGGCCCGAACGCUCCGGCUAGCUCCGUCCUCUCUCCAAUGCUUGUGGUUUUCCUGCUCUAUUUUCAUCAGGCCAGUCAGUCCGUCAUGGAGGAAGGAAGUCUGCUGGAAGGCUGGAGGCCUCGGUGCUGGUGACAGAUUCAUCUUUGUUUCUACAGUUCUAGAAAGUUCUACAGUUCUACAGUUCCAGUUCUAGAAAGUUCUACAGUUCUAGAAAGUUCUACAGUUCUAGAAAGUUCUACAGUUCUACAGUUCCAGUUCUAGAAAGUUAUACAGUUCUAGAAACCAUAGCUCAGGAAACAAUCAGCAAUACAAUGUUUGUUUUUUCAGAGAAGGGAAACAAAGAACAUUGUCAAAUGUUUUCCUUGAUAAAAUGUUAGAAAAAUGAACCAAUGGCUUUUAAUUAAUAAAGAGCAAACUUUA